rnacentral:rRNA from 1 species
GACGUAGGGGGCAAGCGUUGUUCGGAAUUACUGGGCGUAAAGGGCGUACAGGCGGCCAUGUAAGUCGAGUGUGAAACUCUUGGGCUUAACCCGAGACAUGCACCUGAUACUGUAUGGCUUGAGAUCAGGAGAGGAGAGUGGAAUAUGUAGUGUAGCGGUGAAAUGCGUAGAUAUUACAUAGAACACCGGUGGCGAAGGCGGCUCUCUGGCCUGAUUCUGACGCUGACGCGCGAAAGCUAGGGUAGCGAACGGGAUUAGAUACCCCGGUAGUCCUAGCCGUAAACGAUGGGUACUAAGUGUAGGAGGUAAUUGACCCCUUCUGUGCUGUAGCUAACGCAUUAAGUACCCCGCCUGGGGACUACGGUCGCAAGACUAAAACUCAAUGUAAUUGACGGGGGCCCGCACAAGCGGUGGAGCAUGUCGCUCAAUUCGAAGCAACGCGAAGAACCUUAUCCAGUGGCUUGACAUCCUUUGACAACCGUGGAAACACGGCGUUCUCUUAUGAGACAAAGUGACAGGUGCUGCAUGGCAGUCGUCAGCUCGUGUCGUGAGAUGUUGGGUUAAGUCCCGCAACGAGCGCAACCCUUGUCUUUAGUUGCCAGCGCGUAAUGGCGGGGACUCUAGAGAAACUGCCGGCGAUAAGCCGGAGGAAGGUGGGGAUGACGUCAUGUCCUCAUGGCCCUUAUGCCCUGGGCUGCACACGUGCUACAAUGGUCGGUACAACGGGUCGUGAAACCGUGAGGUGGAACCAAUCCCUAAAAACCGAUCCCAGUUGGGAUUGUAGUCUGCAACUCGACUACAUGAACCUGGAAUCGCUAGUAAUCGCGAAUCAGCAGGUCGCGGUGAAUACGUUCCCGGGCCU